GGGGAAGGCGGAAGGUCAAAAAGGUAACUGUACAGUACCAGGCUGGCAGCCAAGACACAGCAGGCCCCAAUCUGCAGCUGCAGUGGCCUCUCAGAAAUUGAAGAGAGGUGGUAUGGGAGCCAUGGUAUUGAAGCCAUAUUUUUACUGGACCACAAAUGUGUCUAGUUAUUUUUACUUGUGACUUGACUCUGUUAUGUUUUAUAGGUGAUUCUCACUGAUCAAUCAGUGGGCUGAUCAAUCAGCAAGAGUAGUGACAGAGGGAUGAGCUAAUGCAGAAAGUGCUAAGUGGGAGGAGGAGGCAAAAAGAAAAGAAAAAGAUCUGUCAGUGUGUUCUGAUCAGCCUCAGCAGGAUGAUGUAGACCUCGGGCCCAAAGAUACAGCCCAGAAGCCCGGCACUGGCAACUACCACCAUGGCCUUGCCCAUGGUGCUCAGGCCAAGACCACAGUGAAAAGACCAAAGUGAUGGUCUUUGCCAACACAGAGGAAAUAGCUACAGAAAAGAGUGAAGUAUGGACUGGAGUGCGAAGAGUGCCCUGAAGAUGAGGAAAGAGAGUGAUGAAGAUGGAGCUAUAACCAAGUUCUCCUAACUCUUGGGACCGUGGUAUUUCCAGUAGGCCAUGCCAAAUGCUGACAAAAUUGGUUAUGAACCAGAGUUCCCAUCUUCUCAUUCACAGUCCACAGUAUGCCCUUAUAGCUAGAUCUGAAUAUGGAAAGCUUCAGUGGGAGAGGAAAAGUUUUCCAGGGAUAGGCAGAAAUUACAUAAGUUCAUGUUGCGGGUCAAUUCUUAAAACAAUUAUAGGAGGCAGAAUGUACAGUAAGUAACUUCCAUAUGACUUUUAAUUCUGGGGAAUGAUUUGAUAACAAUGGAAAAACUAAAAAUAGU